rnacentral:rRNA from 1 species
GAGAAAGAGAACAAGAGCGUACGGUGGAUGCCUAGGCUUCCGAAGGCGAUGAAGGACGUGGUAAGCUGCGAUAAGCUCCGGGGAUCUGCAAACAGGAACUGAUCCGGAGAUUUCCGAAUGGGGUAACCCAGCCGGUUGAAGACCGGCUACCUUUUACAGGGGCGAACGCAGGGAACUGAAACAUCUUAGUACCUGCAGGAAGAGAAAGAAAUAUCGAUU